GACGAACGCUGGCGGCGUGCUUAACACAUGCAAGUCGAACGGAAAGGCCUCUUUCGGGGGGUACUCGAGUGGCGAACGGGUGAGUAACACGUGAGUAACCUGCCCUUGACUUUGGGAUAACUUCAGGAAACUGGGGCUAAUACCGGAUAGGAGCUCCUGCUGCAUGGUGGGGGUUGGAAAGUUUCGGCGGUUGGGGAUGGACUCGCGGCUUAUCAGCUUGUUGGUGGGGUAGUGGCUUACCAAGGCUUUGACGGGUAGCCGGCCUGAGAGGGUGACCGGCCACAUUGAGACUGAGAUACGGCCCAGACUCCUACGGGAGGCAGCAGUGGGGAAUAUUGCACAAUGGGUGGAAGCCUGAUGCAGCAACGCCGUGUGCGGGAUGACGGCCUUCGGGUUGUAAACCGCUUUCGCUCAUGACGAAGCUUUGUGUGACGGUAGUGGGUAAAGAAGCACCGGCUAACUACGUG
rnacentral:rRNA from 1 species